UACAUGGGGUGCAAACGUUGCUCGGAAUUAUUGGGCGUAAAGCGCGCGUAGGCGGUUACUCAAGUCGGAUGUGAAAGCCCUCGGCUUAACUGAGGAAGUGCACCCGAAACUGAGUAGCUAGAGUACUAAAGAGGGUCGCGGAAUUCCCGGUGUAGAGGUGAAAUUCGUAGAUAUUCGGAAGAACACCAGUGGCGAAGGCGACUCACUGGACAACUGUUGACGCUGAGGUGCGAAAGCGUGGGGAGCAAACAGG
rnacentral:rRNA from 1 species